CUUAAAAUGAUCAUGGCUCAGAUUGAAUCCCUGGCGUAAUGCUUACACAUGCAAGUCGAACGGCAGCACAGGGUAGCUAUGCUACCCGGGUGGCGAGUAGGCGUGACGGGUAGAGUAACGCGUAGGAAUCUACCUAUAUUUGUAGGGGGAUAACCCGGGGAAACCCGGGCUAAUACCGCGUACGCCAUAACAGGGAAAGCGGGGGACCUAUCGGGCCUCGCGCAGAAAGAUAGAGCCUGCGUACCUAUACAGGUAAGUAAGGUAGAGGUAAUAGGCUACACCAAGCCAACGACGGGUAGCUGGUACUAGAGAGGACGACCAGGCCACACUGGGGACUAGAGACACGGCCCAGACUACCUACGGGAGGCAGCAGUGGGGAAUAUAUGGACAAUAGGGCGGCAACCCUAGAUNCCAGCAAUGCCCGCCGUGUGUAGCAACGAAGGCCUAUCGCGGUNUGUAAAGCACUUAUAAGCAGGAAAGAAAAGCCGUUGGGCUAAAUACCCCGAGCAGCUAAUAGACGUAUAACUAUAGCAGAAAAAGCACCGGCUAACUCCGNAGCCAGCAGACCGCAGGAAAUACGGAGAGGUAGCAAGCGUAUAAUCGGAAUACNGGGCGNUAAAGCGCGCGUAGGCGGCNAUGUUAAGGUACGGGAUAGUGAAAUCCCCCGAAGCUCAACUCAGGGGAAC
rnacentral:rRNA from 1 species